UGGAAGAGUGAGGAUGUGCUGGUGAACGAGAUGGUGAAAUUGGUGAGGGACACCAUUGGGCCGGUGGCAGCUUUUAAGAAGGUUGUCUUUGUCAAAGCUCUUCCCAAAACCCGCUCGGGAAAAAUUCCACGAUCGUCUCUCGCAAACCUGGUGAACCACAAGCCUUAUAAGAUCAGUCCCACCAUAGAAGAUCCUGAGGUCUUUAAGGACAUUGAGAAGCUGCUGAGAGAAACUGUGAAAGGACCUGGUAAAUAAUAUACAACCAGAUGUGGAUCUGCACACACACACACACACACACUCACUCUCACUAAACACCCUUCCUCCCUAAUGUGAUGUAAUUUAUAUGCGUUAAAAUGAUCAUUUCCACUUGUUUAUGUUUUUGAAUAACUUGGACCAAAUAUAGGCAGUAGUCAACAUGUUUAGAUAAUUAAAAAAUUAGGAUGAGUUUGACUUGGUGAAUGUUACAAAUAUAUGUCCAGUUCAUACUUAUUUCACCCCCGAGAUCCAAAAUAAAAAAAUAAGUGAUAUAUAUUUUGCGAAAGAAAAUCAAAUGAUGGCCAUUUUUAUAUUGUAUUGUAGUGUAAUUUUUGUACCCCCCCCCAACUACAAACUAACAAUUGUGCCAAUGUUUACAUUUUUGAAUUUGAAAGAUUUUAUUGACAUUUUAUAGUUUGACAACUGAAGGAAAAAAAAUUACCUGUAUGUAGUUAUCGUAAAAAAUUGGCUCCAUUAUUUUCCUCCUUGUGACUUUUAAUAUAUAACCUGGACAUGCUGUUGACCGUUUUUGUGAGAUUCACCUUGCAACACACUAAACAAUUGAUUGACUUGAGGUGAAAUGUAAUGUAUUGUAGCGUCAGCUUGACGAGAUGCAUUGGAAAAACAUUUGUGACAAUGAUUGUUAUAAAGCAAACCUAUUUGACUGUACUUUUUAUUGACAAUGAAAAGUUGUUUGAUCACCACAUAGUUUUGACCAAAAUACAAUCAGUAAUAAAUAAAAAAUGGACACAAAAUAAAAUGAUUCUCUGCGCGUGCAAAACUGGGACGUAUAAACAGUCAAAGUGUUUGAAAUAACCUAAAGACCUGCAUCUCAAACAGAAACAAGUUGAAAAUAUUUUUACACCAAAGUCAGUCUAUGUUCACUACGAGCUAAGCCUGUCCUUUAGCGAAUUAUUCUAACAGGAGGCGGCCGGACGCUCUCGAGACGAGGCCACGGAGCAAACGGCUACAGGUGCAGCAAGAGACUUGUGUUUUGUGCUCCGAGACACAACGAAUACGCACCAUGCUCUGGCGGUACAUUUUGUGCUAUUCAUGACGGGAAGCAAUUUGUGUUUUACGUUCUUUCUAACCAAAAGAUAAGAUGUGUGACUGCAUGCGUGAGACGUAAACAUAUCCAAUUAUUAAGUCGUGUUCUUCAGUACGCUUCACUGUGAAGGAUCGAUUGAACAUUGUUGAAAGUUUUUCUGCAUGUUUAAUCCAAUAGAAUGAUUGAUGCAAAAUGACUUUCUGAACUCGUAUGUGGUACUUGCUUUUCACAAUCCAGCUGAUGAAUUAACGAUGGACAAAUGAAGACCCAGGUGAUAUUAUUUUAGUUCAUAUUUUGUUUUCACAUAGAAAUAUGUGAAGUAAGGAAAAAUUUCCCCAAAUCUUUGCCAAAAAGUUUGACCUAUUUGUUGAAUAGGUGCAUUUCUUACGGGUUUAGGUCAGACCUGCACCUGGAGUAGAUGUAGACCCGGGCUCCAAAGAGGUACGAGUGAGUAACUGGUGUGGUACUCUGACAGGUACGUAUAGCUUUUGGGCGAGGCGCUUCCAGUCGGCAGACCGCACAACAGGCCUCAAAACGCAUGAAUAAAUGAAUGAAAAUUAACAGAAUGUCAAAAGCGUCUCUCGGGUGUAGGAGAAAAAAUAAGAACAGCAGCAUUGUUUAAAACCGUGAUGCGAUGUGCACAAACUCUGAAUGUUCUUUCUUUUUAUACAGACGUGUGUAUAUAUAUUUAUUUAUAU